GGAGUUGGAGUUUGUUGGCUGGGCUGUGAGGAAGGAGGAGUCAGUGCUGUGAGGAGAUGCCCGUGAGAAGUCACCAAAAGAAAUAACAGCAAUCAUGGAUGGAUUCCCAGGCUUCCUUCAGCCAGCAGCUGUGCACAUCCAGCAAAGCCUCAGGAUGUCUGAUCAUGCUUCAAAGGCCGCUGCUGAGAUCCAGGCCAAAACCCAUUGUGAGAAAAGCUGGGAGCAAGAAAGCAGCACUUGGCUUGUGGGAUGGGUGACCUCCCUGGAGCUGGGUGUGUGACUGGGUGCUUGGACUCCUUGGUUUUCUUGGGAACUGUAGAAGGUUUCCUGUUAUUUCCUAUGGAAGCCAAGGGCUGUGUGUGGCUUGUGUUUGACUGACAGCAAUGAAUUUGUUGGACAUUCAGCUCUGAGUGAACCUGAAGGCAUUCUUCUCUCAGCCCCUGGAAGGCAGUGAGUGCUUGACUUCAGAGAGCUCGUGCUUUGAAGGUUAAUACAUUAGCCUGGAGGAAUGUCCUCUUCUGAUUUGAAAUCUUGUGAGCAUCUAAAGCAAAGAAACUCCAUUUAACAUGAAAAAUGGUGCAGUAUGGUGAGGUUUUCAAAAUUAAACCAGCCCCUGGCAACACAGGACAACAUGAGCUUCUCCUUCCCAGGUCUCCCUUUUGUUCAGCGUAAUACUCACAGCAUCCAGCAGAUCUUCCUGGCACAGAAUGACUGAACAAACUACUUGCAAGGAGUUAAGCAGGUGUUUGAAAGCACUCAAACCUUCCAGCUUCAGGACAAGACAGCUGUUUCUCAAUACUUUUUCAAGGCAUGUCCUGAGCAACAGGAUGCUUUGUCUCCCUGAGGCAAAGUGGAGGCCCUUUUUGAAAUAUUGUGCCAUUUGAUUUCCCUUGUUUCUUAGUUUUAUUCUCAGGUUGCCACAAAACUUUGUCAGUGUGUAGCAAUUUCAGGACUCAAAUGAAGCUCUGAGGGAUUGAAAUGUGUCUUCAUCCCUGGGAGGAGGCAGCAGCUGUGCAUCCAAAAGGACAGCUGCUUU